GAUGAACGCUGGCGGCGUGCUUAACACAUGCAAGUCGAACGGAAAGGCCUCUGCUUGCAGGGGUACUCGAGUGGCGAACGGGUGAGUAACACGUGGGUGAUCUGCCCUGCACUUCGGGAUAAGCCUGGGAAACUGGGUCUAAUACCGGAUAGGACAAUGGUUUGGAUGCUGUUGUGGAAAGUUUUUCGGUGUGGGAUGAGCUCGCGGCCUAUCAGCUUGUUGGUGGGGUAAUGGCCUACCAAGGCGUCGACGGGUAGCCGGCCUGAGAGGGUGUACGGCCACAUUGGGGCUGAGAUACGGCCCAGACUCCUACGGGAGGCAGCAGUGGGGAAUAUUGCACAAUGGGCGCAAGCCUGAUGCAGCGACGCCGCGUGGGGAUGACGGCCUUCGGGUUGUAAACUCCUUUCGCUAGGGACGAAGCGUUUUUGUGACGGUACCUGGAGAAGAAGCACCGGCUAACUACGUG
rnacentral:rRNA from 1 species